CCUCCUGCCCAGCGUGGAACGAUGGUGUGUCUGGUGUGCAGAUGAUGGGACUGCACCUUCAGGAGCUCGCCCUUGCUUGCACAGAUUGCCCUCCAAGAACCUCUUCCAAAGUGCUUCAUCCCAGCCUUGGAGAGACCAACUGCAUGGAGCUGGAAGACAAGUUCAAUUUUCAUGGAACCUCCCAUCUUGGGCGUGUUUUGGUCCAGCCUAUUCUGAAGAGGAAGGCAGUUGGUUCAGAGCCUGGAUCAGGAUGUGGAUAAGGAGAAGCCACUCCACGUUGGAGGAAAGCAAGGUGAAAGGCCUUUCUGGCAUGCAGGCUGAAAGGGAAUGAGACUGGAUUUGACUGACAGCCAUUAAAUGGGAAGUCCACGAAUACAUUCAUCUUUAUUAAAUGUUCCUGGAAGUGCAGGCUCCCCAACAAGGCUCCAAGUGCA